rnacentral:lncRNA from 1 species
CUACUCCAAGUAGGAAUUCAAUUUUAAUUCAAAAUUCCUAAUCUCAUUAGGAUUGUAGGAAUCCUAUUCCAAGUAGGAAUCCCAGUCCUACUCCAACUAGGAUUUCCAGUCCUAAUCCAAUUAGGACUCUAGAAAUCCUAUCCGAAGUAGGAUUUGUGUUUAAGUCCAAUUAAUUAAUUCCCUUUGUUCCUUCUUCAACUUCUUAUCAAUCAAAUUGAUUUCUUGUGAUUCCUAAUCACGAUUUCAACCAUCGGAUCGGUCAAUACUUCUAGUGUGUGUGACCCCAUAGGUUCUAUUCUGACUGGUAGUGAGAUAUAUUGUGAUCUCUAUCUCAAUAUCAUUGAAAACUCCUUUCAAUGGGUUGGAACGAUUCCAACUCAACUCGUUAGGGUUUAUCGAUCAUCAAGAUAAUCCCUAUGAGUCCCACCAUCCACCAGUGACACCUAGCAGCAUGUAGUGGCUACCCAGUAGAAUAGAAAGAUGAACCUCUAGGUGCAGUUAACGUGUGAUACAGUCCUACUAUCGUGGAUCCCUAUGGGACGGAGGUCAUGGACAACUCGUCAAACCCCAUCGUCUGUCAUAUGUC